rnacentral:rRNA from 1 species
GAGUAAGACCAAGCGGCGGACGGGUGAGUAACGCGUGGGUAACCUGCCCUAUACACAUGGAUAACAUACUGAAAAGUUUACUAAUACAUGAUAAUAUAUAUUUACGGCAUCGUAGAUAUAUCAAAGUGUUAGCGGUAUAGGAUGGACCCGCGUCUGAUUAGCUAGUUGGUGAGAUAACUGCCCACCAAGGCGACGAUCAGUAGCCGACCUGAGAGGGUGAUCGGCCACAUUGGAACUGAGACACGGUCCAAACUCCUACGGGAGGCAGCAGUGGGGAAUAUUGCACAAUGGGCGCAAGCCUGAUGCAGCAACGCCGCGUGAACGAUGAAGGUCUUCGGGUCGUAAAGUUCUGUUGCAGGGGAAGAUAAUGACGGUACCCUGUGAGGAAGCCCCGGCUAACUACGUGCCAGCAGCCGCGGUAAUACGUAGGGGGCUAGCGUUAUCCGGAUUUACUGGGCGUAAAGGGUGCGUAGGUGGUCUUUCAAGUCGGUGGUUAAAGGCUACGGCUCAACCGUAGUUAGCCUCCGAAACUGAAAGACUUGAGUGCAGGAGAGGAAAGUGGAAUUCCCAGUGUAGCGGUGAAAUGCGUAGAUAUUGGGAGGAACACCAGUAGCGAAGGCGGCUUUCUGGACUGCAACUGACACUGAGGCACGAAAGCGUGGGUAGCAAACAGGAUUAGAUACCCUGGUAGUCCACGCUGUAAACGAUGAGUACUAGGUGUCGGGGGUUACCCCCCUCGGUGCCGCAGCUAACGCAUUAAGUACUCCGCCUGGGGAGUACGCACGCAAGUGUGAAACUCAAAGGAAUUGACGGGGACCCGCACAAGUAGCGGAGCAUGUGGUUUAAUUCGAAGCAACGCGAAGAACCUUACCUAAGCUUGACAUCCCUUAGACCGGUGUUUAAUCACACCUUCCCUUCGGGGCUGAGGUGACAGGUGGUGCAUGGUUGUCGUCAGCUCGUGUCGUGAGAUGUUGGGUUAAGUCCCGCAACGAGCGCAACCCUUGUCUUUAGUUGCCAGCAUUCAGUUGGGCACUCUAGAGAGACUGCCAGGGAUAACCUGGAGGAAGGUGGGGAUGACGUCAAAUCAUCAUGCCCCUUAUGCUUAGGGCUACACACGUGCUACAAUGGGUGGUACAGAGGGUUGCCAAACCGUGAGGUGGAGCUAAUCCCUUAAAGCCAUUCUCAGUUCGGAUUGUAGGCUGAAACUCGCCUACAUGAAGCUGGAGUUACUAGUAAUCGCAGAUCAGAAUGCUGCGGUGAAUGCGUUCCCGGGUCU